UGCUACAGGACUAAAGUUGGAGUCACAUGGUUUCAAAGUUUGUGGAAAGUUUUUUCUCCUUUUUUAUGUCCUGUGUGUGUGUCAAGGUUUCAGAUGCGAGUCCUUCAAAGCAUCAGACUGCGUCUCCCUUCAGCUGGUGUGGAGCUCAUUUUCCAACUUCUUUCACAAAAAGCAAUAAAAUUUCUGAAUGGGGCAAUGUGGAGAAAUCCUAAGAGAAAUAGCAUAAGAGCAUUUUGGAAUAUAUCCCGGAAAAGAUAACUUUCUACACAUCCGGUAGAGAUUCGCCAGGAAAAGGUAAGGAAAAAAUAUUGUAAAAAGUUGACUCAAGUUAUUUCAUUACAUCACAUUGAGUUGGACUUUGGGAGAAAAACACAUCCCACUGAUGCAAGAUGGAUGGAGGGGUUAGGAGGGCCCACCUUUGCCCCUCCCUCUUUCAGGCAUGGGCAUCGUAGCCCUGGGUCCACUGGGACAAUCAGUGGUCACCGCGGGUUGUUUCUGAUACCAGCUGGAGAGCUGUAGAGAACAUGUGCAUGGGGUGGGGGGACCUGACAGAUUACGGUAUUCACGGGCACUUCUGCUAAAAUGUCAAUGUGCUUAAUACUGCAAAUGCUCCUUGUACAGUAUGGAAUUUCUUUUAGGUUUAUGUUUGCACUGGGACUGAUUCGUUUUCUAUUUAGGAUUCUUAAAAAAAAUCACUUUUAUGGUGCUCAGUUGAGAAGUACAUCUGUUGCUUACAUAUAAUAAGCAUCAAAUAUGAAGAUAUGUUGAAUGCUGAAGCCGUUUGUUUGUCGCUAUAGGAGACCUGCAACAUGCGAAUGCUGUAUGUCUCUUUUCUGGAAGACAGGUGCCGAGGAGUCAGACUUGAUGGUUCUUCUCUUGAGCAAUAAGGUUUUUUUUAAUCAUCAAAUACUUUAGGUCUCUAAACAGGAACAUCAUUUAGAACUCGAAUGGAUACUUUGAAUGCAGUUCAGAGGGACAAAGAUUGCGUUGGUAACUAUGUAGUAUUUGGGACGCUGGACGAGUUUGUUAACCAAAGCAGAGCUAACACUUUUAUUUGUUGGUAGGUUUUAUACACGUAAUAUUAGCACUAUAACAAGAUGGUCUUUCCAGAAGGCAUGGAAAUCAAGCUGUGGGUUCUUAGGACUGUAUUAGUUUUAUGCCUCAUGACUGUGGAUAAAGUAAAGAGGUUAUAAGUCGAGCACGAGUUAUAUUGGAGCAAGCAUUCCCACGGGAAGAGCUUCUGAUUUUCAAACAAUUGGUGGGAUAUAUUUGUUGUAUACAACUUGAAAUGUUGAUCUUUCUAACUAUUUCAGAUAAAUUGCCGUCAAGUGAAUUGGAAUGUGCCUUUAGAUCCACUUAGAAUGAGUAAUACAAAAGAAGUUAUUCUCCUGUAAGCCAUGUUUACGCAGUUCAGAUAAAAAAUUAUGACUUUCCUAAUAAAAUCAUCCUAGAUUAAAUAAAUUUAAAAUAA
rnacentral:lncRNA from 1 species